AACUUAAGCAUAUCAAUAAGCGGAGGAAAAGAAACUAACAAGGAUUCCCCUAGUAACUGCGAGUGAAGCGGGAAAAGCUCAAAUUUAAAAUCUGGCAGUGUUUCGCUGUCCGAGUUGUAAUUUAGAGAAGUGUUUUCUGAACUGGACCGUGUACAAGUCUCCUGGAAUGGAGCGUCAUAGAGGGUGAGAAUCCCGUCUUUGACACGGACUACCAGGGCUCUGUGAUACACUCUCAAAGAGUCGAGUUGUUUGGGAAUGCAGCUCAAAAUGGGUGGUGAACUCCAUCUAAAGCUAAAUAUUGGCGAGAGACCGAUAGCGAACAAGUACCGUGAGGGAAAGAUGAAAAGCACUUUGGAAAGAGAGUGAAACAGUACGUGAAAUUGCUGAAAGGGAAACGCUUGAAGUCAGUCGCAUCUGUUAGAAUUCAGCCCUUGUGGUGUACUUUCUAUAUAGAUGGGCCAGCAUCACUUUUGGUUAUUGGAAAAGGGUAGGGGAAAGGUAGCACUCAUUUAUUUGGGUGUGUUAUAGUCCUCUAUUAAAUACAGUAGCUAGGAGUGAGGAAUGCCUUUGUAGGAUGCUGGCGUAAUGGCUUUAAACGACCCGUCU
rnacentral:rRNA from 1 species